UACGAAGGGUGCAAGCGUUACUCGGAAUUACUGGGCGUAAAGCGUGCGCAGGCGGCUUUGCAAGACAGAUGUGAAAUCCCCGGGCUCAACCUGGGAACUGCAUUUGUGACUGCAGGGCUGGAGUACGGCAGAGGGGGAUGGAAUUCCGCGUGUAGCAGUGAAAUGCGUAGAGAUGUGGAGGAACACCGAUGGCGAAGGCAGCCCCCUGGGCCGAUACUGACGCUCAUGCCCGAAAGCGUGGGGAGCAAACAGG
rnacentral:rRNA from 1 species